UGGGGAGUGGUGUAAUGGUAACACGUCAGGCUUUGAACCUGAAGACUCUAGGUUCGAUCCCUAGCUCCCCAGCAA
rnacentral:tRNA from 1 species